rnacentral:rRNA from 1 species
AUACGGAGGAUCCAAGCGUUAUCCGGAUUUAUUGGGUUUAAAGGGUGCGUAGGCGGACUGGUAAGUCAGCUGUGAAAGUUUGCGGCUUAACCGUAAAAUUGCAGUUGAUACUGUCAGUCUUGAGUGUGCAUGAGGUGGGCGGAAUUUGUGGUGUAGCGGUGAAAUGCUUAGAUAUCACGAGGAACUCCAAUUGCGAAGGCAGCUCACUGGGGCAUAACUGACGCUGAUGCACGAAGGUGUGGGUAUCAAACAGGAUUAGAUACCCUGGUAGUCCACACAGUAAACUAUGAAUACUCGCUGUUUGCGAUAUACAGUAAGCGGCCAAGCGAAAGCAUUAAGUAUUCCACCUGGGGAGUACGUUCGCAAGAAUGAAACUCAAAUGAAUUGACGGGG